UACGUAGGUGGCAAGCGUUGUCCGGAAUUAUUGGGCGUAAAGCGCGCGCAGGCGGUCCUUUUAAGUCUGAUGUGAAAGCCCACGGCUCGACCGUGGAGGGUCAUUGGAAACUGGGGGACUUGAGUGCAGAAGAGGAAAGCGGAAUUCCACGUGUAGCGGUGAAAUGCGUAGAGAUGUGGAGGAACACCAGUGGCGAAGGCGGCUCACUGGACCAUAACUGACGCUGAUGCACGAAAGCUAGGGGAGCAAACAGG
rnacentral:rRNA from 1 species